ACGAACGCUGGCGGCGUGCCUAAUACAUGCAAGUAGAACGCUGAAGAGAGGAGCUUGCUCUUCUUGGAUGAGUUGCGAACGGGUGAGUAACGCGUAAGUAACCUGCCUUGUAGCGGGGGAUAACUAUUGGAAACGAUAGCUAAUACCGCAUAACAAUGGAUGACCCAUGUCAUUUAUUUGAAAGGGGCAAAUGCUCCACUACAAGAUGGACCUGCGUUGUAUUAGCUAGUAGGUGAGGUAACGGCUCACCUAGGCGACGAUACAUAGCCGACCUGAGAGGGUGAUCGGCCACACUGGGACUGAGACACGGCCCAGACUCCUACGGGAGGCAGCAGUAGGGAAUCUUCGGCAAUGGGGGCAACCCUGACCGAGCAACGCCGCGUGAGUGAAGAAGGUUUUCGGAUCGUAAAGCUCUGUUGUAAGUCAAGAACGAGUGUGAGAGUGGAAAGUUCACACUGUGACGGUAGCUUACCAGAAAGGGACGGCUAACUACGUGCCAGCAGCCGCGGUAAUACGUAGGUCCCGAGCGUUGUCCGGAUUUAUUGGGCGUAAAGCGAGCGCAGGCGGUUUGAUAAGUCUGAAGUUAAAGGCUGUGGCUCAACCAUAGUUCGCUUUGGAAACUGUCAAACUUGAGUGCAGAAGGGGAGAGUGGAAUUCCAUGUGUAGCGGUGAAAUGCGUAGAUAUAUGGAGGAACACCGGUGGCGAAAGCGGCUCUCUGGUCUGUAACUGACGCUGAGGCUCGAAAGCGUGGGGAGCGAACAGGAUUAGAUACCCUGGUAGUCCACGCCGUAAACGAUGAGUGCUAGGUGUUGGAUCCUUUCCGGGAUUCAGUGCCGCAGCUAACGCAUUAAGCACUCCGCCUGGGGAGUACGACCGCAAGGUUGAAACUCAAAGGAAUUGACGGGGGCCCGCACAAGCGGUGGAGCAUGUGGUUUAAUUCGAAGCAACGCGAAGAACCUUACCAGGUCUUGACAUCCCGAUGCUAUUUCUAGAGAUAGAAAGUUACUUCGGUACAUCGGUGACAGGUGGUGCAUGGUUGUCGUCAGCUCGUGUCGUGAGAUGUUGGGUUAAGUCCCGCAACGAGCGCAACCCCUAUUGUUAGUUGCCAUCAUUCAGUUGGGCACUCUAGCGAGACUGCCGGUAAUAAACCGGAGGAAGGUGGGGAUGACGUCAAAUCAUCAUGCCCCUUAUGACCUGGGCUACACACGUGCUACAAUGGUUGGUACAACGAGUUGCGAGUCGGUGACGGCAAGCUAAUCUCUUAAAGCCAAUCUCAGUUCGGAUUGUAGGCUGCAACUCGCCUACAUGAAGUCGGAAUCGCUAGUAAUCGCGGAUCAGCACGCCGCGGUGAAUACGUUCCCGGGCCUUGUACACACCGCCCGUCACACCACGAGAGUUUGUAACACCCGAAGUCGGUGAGGUAACCUUUUGGAGCCAGCCGCCUAAGGUGGGAUAGAUGAUUGGGGUG
rnacentral:rRNA from 1 species